rnacentral:rRNA from 1 species
GAUGAACGCUGGCGGCGUGCCUAAUACAUGCAAGUCGAGCGAACAGACGAGGAGCUUGCUCCUCUGACGUUAGCGGCGGACGGGUGAGUAACACGUGGAUAACCUACCUAUAAGACUGGGAUAACUUCGGGAAACCGGAGCUAAUACCGGAUAAUAUAUUGAACCGCAUGGUUCAAUAGUGAAAGACGGUUUUGCUGUCACUUAUAGAUGGAUCCGCGCCGCAUUAGCUAGUUGGUAAGGUAACGGCUUACCAAGGCAACGAUGCGUAGCCGACCUGAGAGGGUGAUCGGCCACACUGGAACUGAGACACGGUCCAGACUCCUACGGGAGGCAGCAGUAGGGAAUCUUCCGCAGUGGGCGAAAGCCUGACGGAGCAACGCCGCGUGAGUGAUGAAGGUCUUCGGAUCGUAAAACUCUGUUAUUAGGGAAGAACAAAUGUGUAAGUAAAUAUGCACGUCUUGACGGUACCUAAUCAGAAAGCCACGGCUAACUACGUG